CUGAAUCAGUGUGUGUGUUAGUGGAAGCGUCUGGAAAGGCGCGCGAUACAGGGUGACAGCCCCGUACACAAAAAUGCACAUAUUGUGAGCUCGAUGAGUAGGGCGGGACACGUGGUAUCCUGUCUGAAUAUGGGGGGACCAUCCUCCAAGGCUAAAUACUCCUGACUGACCGAUAGUGAACCAGUACCGUGAGGGAAAGGCGAAAAGAAC
rnacentral:rRNA from 1 species